rnacentral:lncRNA from 1 species
UAGACUAUCAAGUAGUUAGGAAAGAAAGUCAGUGAGAUGUCUCAGGCGUGACUCAGCUACGGAAACAAUAGCAAUCAGAGGACAUUUGGAGAUGAAGAAAAAAAAGAAACAAACUUCAAUACAAUGAGAAAUAUACCAGUACAUAGACCUGGAACCAAACCCAGAACUUCACUUCCCUGUGCCAGAAGGAUUCCAGUGAGCUUUUCCCACAGGCCCUACAGUCUUCUCCAGGUGAACCUCGGUCACUAUCUAUAUUUAUUAAUGGUUUCUGUCCUGUAAAUAUCUUCUAUAAUAAAAGAUU